rnacentral:lncRNA from 1 species
UUUUUUUUUUUUUUUUUUUUUAUGAUAGUCACAGAGAGAGAGAGAGAGAGAGGCAGAGACACAGGCAGAGGGAGAAGCAGGCUCCAUGCACCGGGAGCUCGAUGUGGGUUUCGAUCCUGGGUCUCCAGGAUCGCGCCCUGGGCCAAAGGCAGGUGCUAAACCGCUGCGCCACCCAGGGAUCCCCCGGAAUGUGUGACUCUUAAUCUGGGAGUUUUGUUUUGUUUUGGUCUUAGAUUUUAUUUUUAUUUAUUUAUUUAUUUAUUUAUUUGAGACACACACAGAGGCAUGGGGCUCCAUGGGGAGCCCGGUGUGGGACUCGAUCCCAGGACCCCGGGAUCACACCCUGAGCCGAAGGCAGACGCUCCACUGCUGAGCCACCUAGGCGUCCCUUGAUCUGGGAGUUGAGUUCAGGCCCCAGGUUGGAUGUGGAGAUGACUUCAAAUGAAAUAUUUUUUAAAAAAAGAAUUAGGUUUUGAGAGCCCUAUUUUAGGAAGGAAGGUCAGGGAAGGCCUCUCUCUCAAGCUGACUUAGAGCUCAGAUCUGGAAUUUGAGAUGGAAUGAGUCAUGCAAAGCAAGGAGGGGGUUCCAGGUGGCGUAAGGAGUUCUCAUUUGAGGUCCUCAAAGGCAGCAGGAGCAUGCUGAGUAAGGGGCUGGUGAACUGAGAUAAGCUUAGGGAGUGUGGUUAACAAUAAGCACCUAUUAUGGGACAGCGCUGUUCCGCUUGCCAUCCACACAUCGUCCCAGUUGAUCCCCACCGGUCUUAAGAAGUAAAUAACAGGGCAGCCCUGGUGGCACAGCGGUUUAGAGCCGCCUGCAGCCCGGGGUGUGAUCCUGGAGACCCGGGAUUGAGUCCCACAUUGGGCUCCCUGCAUGGAGCCUGCUUCUCCCUCUGCCUUUGACUCUGCCUCUGUCUCUCUCUAUGAAUAAAUAAAUAAAAUCUUAAAAACAAAAAAGAAGUAAAUAAGUCUCCGCUUUUGAAUUUAUAGAUGAGAAAAUUGAGGCACAGAGGGAAUACAUACUUUGUCCCAAGUCCUGUAGAUAGUAGGGAGCGAAACUAGGAUUGAAACCCAUGCAUUUCAGUUUCAGCACCCAGACUCGACACUCAUCGGGUGCCCUACGCUGCCCUCUAGGCAUGGCCAAGGACUUUGUGGUUUUAUUCUAAGUGCAGGGAGACCUCGCCAGCUUUUAAACAGGAGCUCUGAGCGAUCCCUCUUAUGUUUUACAAGAUUGUGCUAAAUGGAUAACAGAUUAUAGGAGGGCAAGAGGAGAGGGGCAAGCUGGGAGGCAAGUGCAGCGGUCCAGGCAAGCAAUGACGGUGGCUUACACGAGGUGGGGCGAGUGGAGACGGGGGAGAAGAAGGAACUGAUACAGAAGUGACAGGACUGGGGACAGGUCACGUGGGGAUCCCGGAGGUGCUGUUUAGAAGGAGACGGUGCUGCCCCAGGAGGGGGUGGGGGACAAGGCCCAGGCCCUCUGGGAACUCCUGCAUUUGGAGGUUGGAUCUGGGAAGAUGAAAGAGGUGGAGGGAGGGAGACAGCCAGAGAUCUGCAAUGAUGAUGAUGAUGAUGAUGAUGAUCAUCAUCAUCAUCAUCAUCAUCGAGGUGAGCCGUGAGCCGACAAGGAAGGAAAAAAUUACAAAACAAAAGCAGCCUAGGGCUGCCCUCAUAAUGUCCUCUGAAAAAGAAAGAGAGCCCUCCUUCCUGCCUCCUUACACCCGGGUAGGAAUUGGCAGGGGAGGAAUUGGCCGGGACCCAGAGACGGUUGGGUCUGAGCGCAGGCCCAGGGUGGCGGUAGCCAAUCUGCUUGGGUGAGUCCCUACACCAGUCUGCUCUAGAAAGCAGUACACCCCGAAAUAGAACCCGUGUCUCCACACUUUCUCUGUCAGUCCUCAGUCUCUGGUGGGGCUCACGGGGAUUCACAGAGGUGUGGACCCGGAGUCAGCUCUGGGAGAGAGACCGUACCCUGUGAGUGGGUGCAUGGGGUUCAGGCAUUAUUAGUCAUGUUCCCGUUGUCAUUUCCUGUGGGUUUUUUUUUUUUCUUCUCUUUCCCUGCCCUGGCCCCUGAUUUUACCUGCUUCUCUUUCUCCUUUAUCUUUCACCUGGAAAGCAUUAUGAUGUCAGCAUUUUGUCUUCAUAAUCCCAUGAUAAGCAUGUCAUCGUUACUUAAUAUGGUGAUGAAAAUGUUCUCUUUUAUAUCCCUUUUGGGUGCUGAGAGUUGCUGCCAUAGAUGUUUAAGAGGUUCUUGUCUCUAGUGCGAAGAAAGGCAAGAUCGGUUUUCACCCUGAGGCCUAACCCUGUACAGGAAACACAGUUCCACGCAGAGUGCUCUCCAGCUUCUAGCCUGACAGCCCAGGCAUGGGGGUGACCAAGAGCCACUGGGGAAGCUCUACCAUUUAAAAAAAGAAAACAACCGAACCUGUCAUUUUUUUCAUUAAAAAAGUAUAUUUUACUGUAGAACUGGGCUUCUCAAACUUUAACGAGCCUAUGAAUUCACUACCUGGGGAUCUUGCUAAAAGGCAGCUUCUGAAUUAGGAGGUCUGGUGGGGAUGGAGAUGCCACCUUUCUAUCAUGAGGCUGGGGGCUGGCAAACGGACCUCAUUGGAGUAUCAAGGAUUUGUCAAAUAACCAAAAAAUAGGAAAACGCAAAUGUACUGUGAUUGUGUCUCCCCGGAUGAGACCUGCUUCCCAUCUGUGCCCCUGUGCUGAAAUCAGGGUCACCAGCUCCCUCCCCAGCAUCGCCAAGAGAACCUGGAGAGGGAACAGAGCAAGAGGAGGCCAGGAGCCCCCCCACCCCCCCCACCCCGUUGGGGAGGCAGAAGGCUGUGGCGGGGAGAGGUGGCCGGGAAGGAGUCUAGGACUAAGGCUUGGCCUCUUCACCAGCUCAGUCAGAUGCUGGCAUCCCCAGGUUCAAGAGGAAAGUCAGUGGAGAGCAAGACACCCACGUAAACAGGUGGGACUGACCAGACGCAGGGACGCAGGGACUCAGUUUCCCACCUCCUCUCCUAGUCCCUGAGAGGCUGGAGGACUAGCUUCUCAGGGACGCCUUGCCACGUCCUACGACUGUCAGCACCCAGGCAGCGUGGGUGGGGGUUGGGGAGAGCCUUGACCUUGACUCAGGAGUGAGAAACACUGGUUCUCGGGGCCCAAGAUGGUCCACACUAGGGCACAGGUGCCCUUGCUUAUCCCUCACCCCCCACACACACCCACUUGAAACCCCUACAAAAAUGAGAAACCGCUCCAAAGAGUCAAGUGGAGAGAUUAGAAUGAAACGUAGAGCCAGGAAGGAGAGAAUCGUGAGACCAAGGGGAAAACGAGACAGCUGAGAGCAGAAUGGCGGAACAUGAAAGAUCCGCUUGCCACGGUGCCGUGGAAGGAAAAAGGGAAGGAUGAAGAUCCGGCAAAUGUAGAAGAAAAUGAGGGUAAUCCGGGAGGACAGAAAUAGUAGACUUGGGAAAUGGGAGGCUUCUGAAGAAAAAAAUCUGGAGAGGAGUGAUGUUUGAAGAAUCCUCAGGGAUGAUUUUUGCAGAGUUAGAGAUGCGGGCCCACUGAGGCCAAAGGGGAGAGAAGCAACACGGGACACCUGGGCAUAUUCCACUAAAUUCUGGAACAUCAAACACAAGGAGAAGUUCCUAAACACUUUCAGAGAGCACCGUGCGCAGGCAAAGCAAGCAGGGUGGAGGGUCCUUACACACGAGGGUGCCUGCGUGCACGCUCACGCUGCCUCCAGGAGCCCCCCUCCUUACACACCUGCUACUCCUUUGUCACAGUCACUCUGAAGGCCAGCCCCCUGGGAAGGGUUGGCCCUCCCGGCCUUGACCGUGUGGGGCCUGGGUCCAGGGAUGUCAGGCUCUCAGGCAGGGGCCCCGCUGGUGGCUUCCCACGGCCUGCAGCCGUCCUCAGAGCUGCCCCUGGCAACCGGCACCCAACAGGGAGGAGGGAGCCCCCUGGGAGAGCCCCAGCCACUGGCGGUCCCGGGGUACACCUUUGUCCCUCCCCGGCAUCCCAGCCACUGCUCACGGGGGCAGGGGCGGGGGGGAAGGAACACUGAAUGAGUAAGGCCUUCCCGCCGCCUAUGGGAGGUCACAGUCCUUCAGAGAUGGGACAAGCUGACAGCAAACCAAUGGCUAAGAGCAAACCAUCAGACAGAAAGAGUUGAGCGUUUGCAUGGUGGGCGAACCAGGAAGGGAAGAGCUGCCACAGCGCUUCAGGGCCCGGGGCACCCUCAGCUUCUCACGCGGCCUUGUGCGUUCCUCAGAAGGGACGUCUCCCUAUCACACCUGUACGUCCGGCACCAUCCUGGGCUCUGGAAAUGCCUUGCAAAGCCAGGUCGUCAGUGCCCCUGUCCCUUGGAGCCCACCUUCCAGCGGAGCCAAAGAAGUGAACACACAAGCAACCCGGUGAGGUCACGACAGGCUGUAUCCACAGGCCAGGGAGCGGCCUCAGCAGAGGGCGGGGGUGGGGGGGGGGUGGCCCGGAGGUGCCCUGGGAGCUGGUGGGUGAGAAUAAGCCAGGGGAAGAGGCUGCACAGGACGGCGGGGCCACCAUCUGGGGAGAAUGAGCACACCAUGGCUUGGCAAACAGCUAGGAAACAGUGAGGCAGGGAAAUGAGGAAAGACACCCCCUUAUGUAAAUGAUGGUGGAUUCGGGAUGAUCGAAGACCAAGGGGGUUCUGGAGGGAGAGCCCCGCUGACACAGAAGGGAGGCUGCAGAGGCUGGCGGGAGCCCAAUCCGAAAGGACCCGUGAGGCCGCGUAAGGACGCGGGUUUUAUCCUAAGCGCCGCGUGAGCCAUCGAAGGACUUUAUGUUUUUAGGUUUACAUUCCACUCUCCAUUCAGGCAGUCACUUGGAAAGCUGUGAGUGGCGACAGGACUGUAUGACAGUCUGAUUGACCAAACAAGCAGCAGCUACAAGGAUUCGUCUGCCACCUGCAGCAGUAACGGCCGCGGAGGUGCAGAGGCGGGAACUGGAAGCGCUCGGUGACCCCCAGGCUCCAGGGGAGCAGGCAGCGCUUCACCCAGUGUAGGGUGGGGGCCCGUACCCAGAAGAGGACGGGUUCCGGGGUACCUGUCCUCUCGGGCCGAUGCUCCAACGUGGUGGCAAGACAGAGAGUCCAUCCAAGGGCGACUCAUUCGGGGCAGGUUCAACCAGGGCGACGUGAUGCCGCUGACCCAGAGGGUGGAGUUGGGGGGACCAGCCCCACAGCCUUGUGCCGCCUACCUGUGGCAUGACACAUCCCAAGGGGCACUUAUUUCCAAGGCUGCUGGCCGGGCCACUUGCUCUGCCUUUAGGCUUCCAGACACUCCUCAGUGAACCUAUAAAGAAAAACUUGGGGCAGCCCGGGUGGCUCCGCGGUUUAGCGCCUGCCUUGGGCCCAGAGCACGAUCCUGGAGUCCCGGGAUCGAGUCCCACGUCGGGCUCCCUGCAUGGAGCCUGCUUCUCCCUCUGCCUGUAUCUCUGCCUCUCUCUCUCUCUCUGUCUCAUGAAUAAAUAAAUUUUUUAAAAAAAGAAAAACUUGGCCGACAAAAGGGAUUCUUUGCUGUUGUAAAACUAUUCAUCCCUUUGAGCCUUUUUUUAAAAAAUAGACUUCCAAUUAGAAAACGUCAAAACACACAAAGGUUAUUAGCAAAUUUAUUUCAGAAACCAGCAUUUUAGCAUGUCCUGCCGACACACUGGAGGCCGUGUGCCCCCUUCUGGUGUGUCUGUCAGAUGCCUGAGUUGCUCGUGAUCAAGAACCCAAAGAUGAGCUCCUAGCACAGCCUCGGCUGCACCUGGCACCUGUGGGCGGCCCGGCCCGAGUCACACCUGCCCUGGCUUCCACUGAGCAGCUGUGUGCCUGUUUCCACCUGCGAGAGACCUCACAGUGGAAAUGCCAAGGCAACGAAGAGGAUAAAGAGGCCUUGGGUUCACUCUGACAAGUGAAUCUGAGAAGUGCCAGGCGGGGAAAGCCAGAGGAGAGGCCGCCAGAAGUCGGUGUGUGUGUGUGGGGGGGUCCCGGUCCCCACCCCUGCCCAGAGCCUGGCAGGAAGUCAAGCCUGGGGACCCACAGCUGUCGGUCUGGCCUCCCCUGGAGCAAACCAACCCCCCCUGCAGUGCGAUUCAGAGCCCCGUGUCCAGUUAGACUCGGGGAGACUCGGGUAAGAUCCAGAGAGUGGAGCCUCACUUGCUCUCCACUCCCACGGGCACAGGGAGCCUUGUGCUUCUGUCAACCAUGUCAGCACAGGAAUUCUAAAGAUCGGGGUGAGUCAUGGUUAAGACCGUCCAUAAAUAUUUAAUGUUCUCGGCAAAACUGGUGGCUAUGUGUACUUUUCUGGGUGGGGGGGAGAUCAAUGUAGCAGAUUCCCAAAGUGGUCCAGGAUCCAAAAUACCACGAACCGUGGAAAGGAGUGUCCUAGACUGCUUGGGCCGCUCUAAUAAAAAUACCAUAGAUGGGGGGGGGGGGGGGCGGCCUGAACAUUUCUUUCUCACAGUCCUGGAGGCUGGGAGGUCUAAGAUAGGGGCAUUGGCAGGUUUGGUGUCUGGUGAUGGUCGACUUAGUGGCUCACAGAUGGCCCUCUUCUGGCUGCGCCCCCACAUGGCAAAAGGGACAAGGGAGCUCUGCGGAGGGGGGUGCGGGGGGUUUAUAAGGGCACUAAUCCCAUUCACUGUUAUGACCCACUCAUUUCCCAAAGACCCCACCUCCUAAUACCAUCACACUGGGGGUUAGGACUUCAACAUAUGAAUUUUCUUUUUCUUUUUCUUUUUUUUUUAAAGAUUUUAUUUAUUUAUUUGAGAGAGUGAGUGACCACAAGCUGGAGGAGGGGCAAAGGGACAAGCAGACUCUCCGCUGAGCAGGGAGUCGGACACGGGGCUGGGUCCCAGAGUCCUGGGAUUGAGCCCGAGCCCCGUGUCCUUGUCGUCAGGCUCCUUGCUUCUCCCUCUCUCUCUGCC